AAUAAAGUGGCUGAAUUAAAGCGAUAAAUUGUAAAUUUAUUUAUGAGUUAACUCCUUUAUU
rnacentral:tRNA from 1 species